UACGUAGGGGGCUAGCGUUGUCCGGAAUCAUUGGGCGUAAAGAGCGCGUAGGCGGCUGGAAUAGUCCGGUGUGAAAUCCACAGGCUUAACCUGUGAAUGCCGCUGGAAACUGUCUGGCUAGAGUCCGGAAGGGGCGAGUGGAAUUCCUGGUGUAGCGGUGAAAUGCGCAGAUAUCAGGAGGAACACCGGUGGCGAAGGCGGUUCUCUGGGCAUUACCUGACGCUGAGGAGCGAAAGUGUGGGGAGCGAACAGG
rnacentral:rRNA from 1 species